rnacentral:rRNA from 1 species
CACGUAGGGCGCAAGCGUUUGUCCGGAAUUAUUGGGCGUAAAGAGCUCGUAGGCGGUCUGUUGCGUCCGCUGUGAAAACUCGGGGCUUAACCCCGAGCCUGCAGUGGAUACGGGCAGACUAGAGGUAGGUAGGGGAGAAUGGAAUUCCCGGUGUAGCGGUGAAAUGCGCAGAUAUCAGGAGGAACACCGGUGGCGAAGGCGGGUCUCUGGGCCGAUAUUGACGCUGAGGAGCGAAAGCGUGGGGAGCGAACAGG